GACGAACGCUGGCGGCGUGCUUAACACAUGCAAGUCGAACGGAAAGGCCCUGCUUUUGUGGGGUGCUCGAGUGGCGAACGGGUGAGUAACACGUGAGUAACCUGCCCUUGACUUUGGGAUAACUUCAGGAAACUGGGGCUAAUACCGGAUAGGAGCUCCUGCUGCAUGGUGGGGGUUGGAAAGUUUCGGCGGUUGGGGAUGGAAUCGCGGCUUAUCAGCUUGUUGGUGGGGUAGUGGCUUACCAAGGCUUUGACGGGUAGCCGGCCUGAGAGGGUGACCGGCCACAUUGGGACUGAGAUACGGCCCAGACGCCUACGGGAGGCAGCAGUGGGGAACAUUGCACAAUGGGCGGAAGCCUGAUGCAGCAACGCCGCGUGCGGGAUGACGGCCUUCGGGUUGUAAACCGCUUUCGCCUGUGACGAAGCGUGAGUGACGGUAAUGGGUAAAGAAGCACCGGCUAACUACGUG
rnacentral:rRNA from 1 species